UACGUAGGGUGCGAGCGUUGUCCGGAAUUACUGGGCGUAAAGAGCUCGUAGGUGGUUUGUCGCGUUGUCCGUGAAAACUCACAACUCAAUUGUGGGCGUGCGGGCGAUACGGGCAGACUGGAGUACUGCAGGGGAGACUGGAAUUCCUGGUGUAGCGGUGAAAUGCGCAGAUAUCAGGAAGAACACCCGUGGCGAAGGCGGCUCUCUGGUACGUGACUGACGCUGAGACGCGAAAGCGUGGGGAGCAAACAGG
rnacentral:rRNA from 1 species